rnacentral:rRNA from 1 species
GAGAGGGAAGAGCUCAAUUUGAAAUCUGGCAGUCUUAUGGCUGUCCGAGUUGUAAUCUAGAGAAGUGUUUUCCGUGCUAGACCGUGUACAAGUCCAUUGGAACAUGGCGUCAUAGAGGGUGAGAAUCCCGUCCAUGACACGGAUGACUAGUGCUCUGUGAUACACUCUCAACGAGUCGAGUUGUUUGGGAAUGCAGCUCAAAAUGGGUGGUAAAUUCCAUCUAAAGCUAAAUACAGGCGAAAGACCGAUUGCGAACAAGUACCGUGAGGGAAAGAUGAAAAGCACUUUGGAAAGAGAGUUAAACAGUACGUGAAAUUGUUGAAAGGGAAACGCUUGAAGUCAGUCGCGUCUUCAGAAAUUCAGCUAGUGAUACUAGUGUACUUUUCUGUUAGACGGGCCAGCGUCAGUUUCAGCCACCAGAAAAAGGUGAGAGAAAGGUAGCAUCCCCGGAUGUGUUAUAGUCUCUUAUCUUAUAUGGUGGCAGGGACUGAGGAAUGCAGCACGCCCUUGUUGGCCGGGGUUCGCCCACGUAACGUGCUUAGGAUGCUGGCGUAAUGGCUUUAAACGACCCGUCUUGAAACACGGACCAAGGAGUCUAACAUGCAUGCAAGUAUUUGGGUGGCAAACCCAUAUGCGUAAUGAAAGUGAAUCACAGUUGGGACUUGUGUCAUGCAAGGCACCGACGCCCGGUCCAUGAUCCCUCCGUGGUGACGGAUCCGAGGUAGAGCAUGUAUGCUGGGACCCGAAAGAUGGUGAACUAUGCCUGAGUAGGGUGAAGCCAGAGGAAACUCUGGUGGAGGCUCGUAGCGAUUCUGACGUGCAAAUCCAUCGUCGAACUGGGUAUAGGGCGAAAG